rnacentral:tRNA from 1 species
ACUAUUUUGGCAGAAAAAUGUAAUGAUUUUAGAGUUCAUAAAUAUAUAAUAUAAAUUAUUUAAAUAGUA